rnacentral:rRNA from 1 species
CCUACGGGAGGCUGCAGUGAGGAAUAUUGGUCAAUGGGCGCGAGCCUGAACCAGCCAAGUAGCGUGAAGGAUGACUGCCCUACGGGUUGUAAACUUCUUUUAUAAAGGAAUAAAGUGAGGCACGUGUGCCAUUUUGUAUGUACUUUAUGACUAAGGCUCGGCUAACUCCGUGCCAGCAGCCGCGGUAAUACGGAGGAUCCGAGCGUUAUCCGGAUUUAUUGGGUUUAAAGGGAGCGUAGAUGGGUGGGUAAGUCAGUUGUGAAAGUUUGCGGCUCAACCGUAAAAGUGCAAUUGAUACUGGCAGUCUUGAGUACAGUUGAGGUAGGCGGAAUUCGUGGUGUAGCGGUGAAAUGCUUAGAUAUCACGAAGAACCCCGAUUGCGAAGGCAGCUUACUAAACUGUGACUGACAUUGAUGCUCGAAAGUGUGGGUAUCAAACAGGAUUAGAUACCCGUGUAGUC